GAUGAACGCUAGCGGCAGGCUUAAUACAUGCAAGUCGAACGGGAAUUGGGUAGCAAUACCUGAUGAUAGUGGCGCACGGGUGCGUAACGCGUAUGCAACCUACCUUAACAGGGGGAUAGCCCGGAGAAAUUCGGAUUAAUACCCCAUAGUAUUAUGGAGAGGCAUCUUUUCAUGAUUAAAGUUCCGGCGGUUAAAGAUGGGCAUGCGUGCCAUUAGCUAGUUGGUGAGGUAACGGCUCACCAAGGCGACGAUGGUUAGGGGUCCUGAGAGGGUUAUCCCCCACACUGGUACUGAGACACGGACCAGACUCCUACGGGAGGCAGCAGUAAGGAAUAUUGGUCAAUGGGCGGAAGCCUGAACCAGCCAUGCCGCGUGCAGGAUGACGGCCCUACGGGUUGUAAACUGCUUUUCCCCGGGGCGAAUAACCCCCUCGCGAGGGGGGAUGCCGGUACCGGGGGAAUAAGGAUCGGCUAACUCCGUG
rnacentral:rRNA from 1 species